rnacentral:rRNA from 1 species
GAUGAACGCUGGCGGCGUGCCUAAUACAUGCAAGUCGAGCGAACAGACGAGGAGCUUGCUCCUCUGACGUUAGCGGCGGACGGGCGAGUAACACGUGGAUAACCUACCUAUAAGACUGGGAUAACUUCGGGAAACCGGAGCUAAUACCGGAUAAUAUAUUGAACCGCAUGGUUCAAUAGUGAAAGACGGUUUUGCUGUCACUUAUAGAUGGAUCCGCGCCGCAUUAGCUAGUUGGUAAGGUAACGGCUUACCAAGGCAACGAUGCGUAGCCGACCUGAGAGGGUGAUCGGCCACACUGGAACUGAGACACGGUCCAGACUCCUACGGGAGGCAGCAGUAGGGAAUCUUCCGCAAUGGGCGAAAGCCUGACGGAGCAACGCCGCGUGAGUGAUGAAGGUCUUCGGAUCGUAAAACUCUGUUAUUAGGGAAGAACAAAUGUGUAAGUAACUAUGCACGUCUUGACGGUACCUAAGCAGAAAGCCACGGCUAACUACGU